rnacentral:rRNA from 1 species
CAUGCAAGUCGAACGAGAGAGAGGGAGCUUGCUUCCUCAAUCGAGUGGCGAACGGGUGAGUAACGCGUGAGGAACCUGCCUCAAAGAGGGGGACAACAGUUGGAAACGACUGCUAAUACCGCAUAAGCCCACGGGUCGGCAUCGACCAGAGGGAAAAGGAGCAAUCCGCUUUGAGAUGGCCUCGCGUCCGAUUAGCUAGUUGGUGAGGUAAUGGCCCACCAAGGCAACGAUCGGUAGCCGGACUGAGAGGUUGAACGGCCACAUUGGGACUGAGACACGGCCCAGACUCCUACGGGAGGCAGCAGUGGGGAAUAUUGCACAAUGGGGGAAACCCUGAUGCAGCGACGCCGCGUGGAGGAAGAAGGUCUUCGGAUUGUAAACUCCUGUUGUUGAGGAAGAUAAUGACGGUACUCAACAAGGAAGUGACGGCUAACUACGUGCCAGCAGCCGCGGUAAAACGUAGGUCACAAGCGUUGUCCGGAAUUACUGGGUGUAAAGGGAGCGCAGGCGGGAAGACAAGUUGGAAGUGAAAUCUAUGGGCUCAACCCAUAAACUGCUUUCAAAACUGUUUUUCUUGAGUAGUGCAGAGGUAGGCGGAAUUCCCGGUGUAGCGGUGGAAUGC